rnacentral:rRNA from 1 species
GAUGAACGCUGGCGGCGUGCCUAAGACAUGCAAGUCGAACGGUAAGGCCCUUCGGGGUACACGAGUGGCGAACGGGUGAGUAACACGUGGGUGAUCUGCCCUGCACUUCGGGAUAAGCCUGGGAAACUGGGUCUAAUACCGGAUAGGACUCCGGACUGCAUGGUCUGGGGUGGCAAGCUUUUGCGGUGUGGGAUGGGCUCGCGGCCUAUCGGCUUGUGGGUGGGGUGAUGGCCUACCAAGGCGACGACGGGUAGCCGGCCUGAGAGGGUGACCGGCCACACUGGGACUGAGAUACGGCCCAAACUCCUACGGGAGGCACCAGUGGGGAAUAUUGCACAAUGGGCGCAAGCCUGAUGCAGCGACGCCGCGUGAGGGAUGACGGCCUUCGGGUUGUAAACCUCUUUCAGCAUCGACGAAGCGAAAGUGACGGUAGGUGCAGAAGAAGGACCGGCCAACUACGUGCCAGCCGCCGCCGUAA